GUCCGGGUGGCCCAAUGGUUAACGCAGCUGCCUAGUAAGCAGCAGGCCCCAGGUUCGAAUCCCGGUCCGGACA